UACGGAGGGGGCUAGCGUUGUUCGGAAUUACUGGGCGUAAAGCGCACGUAGGCGGCUUUGUAAGUUAGAGGUGAAAGCCCAGGGCUUAACCCUGGAAUUGCCUUUAAGACUGCAUCGCUAGAAUCGUGGAGAGGUGAGUGGAAUUCCGAGUGUAGAGGUGAAAUUCGUAGAUAUUCGGAAGAACACCAGUGGCGAAGGCGGCGAUCUGGGUAGAUACUGACGCUGAGGUGCGAAAGCGUGGGGAGCAAACAGG
rnacentral:rRNA from 1 species